rfam:Acidimicrobium sp. BACL17 MAG-120823-bin4 contig00216_1_120823-bin4, whole genome shotgun sequence.
UGAGUCGGUCGGUCGACCGCGGUGUUGCGGUGUUCGCAUUGCAACAUUGAGGAAAGUCGGGACUUCACAGGACAAAGUGCUGGCGAGAGCCAGGUUGGGGAAACCUGACAUUACGUGCAACAGAAAACAAACCGCCGAUGGAAGCGUCGCAAGACUCUUCACAGGUAAGGAUGAAACGGUGCGGUAAGAGCGCACCAGCGUGGUUGGCAACAACUGCGGCUCGGUACGUCACUUGAAGCAAGGCCGCGCAGAGGGUAUGAACUGUCCGUUCGCUUUCGAGCAACCCUCGGGUAGGCCGCAUAGAUGGAUGGUCGUCGGUAUCAGCAGGAAACUGCUGGUGCUACAAAAUCCCGCUUAUAGACCGACUCACUGU